rnacentral:lncRNA from 1 species
ACAAAGUUUGAAGUGUGUGUAUGUCUAAGAAGAAUAUACGAGGCUCAGAUCUGUUUUACCUUCGGAACAAGAAGAUUAAACCGCCAUGGCUGCAAAUACAGAGGUUGCAUUCUCACAAUCGCCGUCCUCCGAUUAUAUGCCCUGCCAAGCUGCGGAUAAUCUCAAAUCAUGUCCCGAUUUUGAAUCAGAUCACGUUUAAUCAUCAUAGCCUCAUAUUUGUGGACAAUAAUUUUGGACGGAAGGAGUAUAAUAUGAAGAAAAGAUAGGAGGAUAUUUAAUUUCUCUAUAUCUAUAUAUAUAUAUAUCAGCAAAAGCUGUACCAGAGGGUUGUUGGAGCUUUAAAGAAUGACAAUGGAAAUCAUCGGCGUCGAGAGGCGGCAACCGCCCUUGGAAACCCUUCUUCCUCUCACAGCCUCAUUCUUUGAGCCGUAAAACAGAAAUCCCUAGCUUUCAUCCGGUUACUAUAUAGUCUAUAAAGUUAUAUUAAGGCCAUCGAUUUGGGUUACCAAUUGGAUCUUUGGAUCUACUUUAAUUUGUCAUUUAUCUUAAAAUAAUUACUUGCUUUGUAAAUAUUUUUUUUUUUGAAAAUGUAUUUACCAAAAUUAUAUAAAUUUUCAUUAUAUCAAUGAACGGUGUCAUUAUGAAAAAAUAAACAUAAAACUGUAAGAUUGAUUCUUAUGUUAUUCAAAAAACUUUCGAUGAAAUCCAAAAACUUUUCUACUUAAUAGAAUGUUUAAAAUCAAAUUCUUUUUCCCUUGUUUUUAGUCAUGGUAAACUUGAAAUUAAAUUUUUAUCCUUUUAAUUUAUUUUCUUCUUUUUUAUUUUUGUUUUAAUGGCAUUUUAAUUUAAAAAUAAAAGAAAAAGAGAAAAGGGCCCACCGCACCCCGUUGCUCUCUCUCUUUCUCUCUCUCUCUCUCUCUCUCUCGCGCGCGCGCGCAUGCGCCCGUGCCAAACAGACAAUAUACUCAUGAGUAUCAGAGAUUCCUUAUAUCACUCUUCAAAUCCCUAAAUUCAUUUUGCUCUCGUUGAAGCCCAUUUACUUUCAUUCCCUAAAAUUUGCCAGCGAUUCGCUUCACCAUUUUUUGAUCUGUAGUACACCGCUACAAGCGGUGGCGAUGACCUUUCAUCUCCAGUGCUCAACCUUCUCGAUCAAAAGAAAGGAUAUUCAUUUGGAAUUCUGGCUCCAACUGUUACCUCACCGUUUGUAGUUGCACAACGUCAUUCACAUUCAAAUUCCAAUUCGUCUUAUCUUCAUUUCGAUACCGAUUCAGAUGAUGAUUUCGACAACGAAGACGACUCUCUUCAUUUACACUCCGAGAACAGUGGUUCACCUCCCCUGCAUCAAAAAGUGGUGGAUAAACAAGAUGAACUGGUGGAGUAUGAGGUUCAUGUGGUGGAUAAUGAAGUUGUUGACAAUCAACAAACCCCUUUUCUGAUUCAAACAUAAGGAUCCAAUUUGAACCCCUUUCUGAUUCAAACAUAGAGAUCCAAUUUGAAGUUGUUCCAACUCCUCUUUAUCCUUCUGUUUUUGGUUAUUCUUGGCUCUUCUGUUAUGCGACUCUUCUAUCUCCUGUCUCGUUUUUCUUUUCUUACCUCUUCUCAACUUGUAUUAUCACUUUAGACUCCAUUAAUAGUGAAAUUUCAUCACCAUUUUGUCAAUUAAAAACGUCAAUGUUAUUUGAUUUCUCAAAUAACUUCCAGUUUUCCUUCCUUUAGGUUUUAAACUCAAUCUCAAAAUCAAUAUGGGAUUAACUGUUAAGAAUUUUGAGAAACUCUGAAAACCCAUUUGAUUUCGGAUUACAAUAAUGGGAUGGAUAUGAAUUUGGUGUUGAAUUUCAUAGGUAGACCAUAUAUUUUUAAGAUUGAAAAUUAGUAUACAUAUUUGACAUAAGUAAAUACCUUUUAACAUAUGAAUGAUAUUCCGAUCAGAAUAACAUCAAUUCCCAUAACAAUGAGACUUGACUGCAUUAGAAUGUUGUACUCUAUGCUUGAAAAUGAGUAUAUUUGAUGUCAUCAAAGCAUGCAUUUUCAAUGUUGUUGAUUUCUCAAUGUUGUUGAUUUUGUUACAUGCUUCCAGUGUAGUGCUUUUAUUUCUUGAUCAACAUCAUGUUAUUUGUCAUCAGCUUUAGAUUCAUUUGAAUCAAAUGUUUCUAUUUUAUGUUGUUUGUCUAACAUGUUGUAAUCCAUAGAUAUGAAUCAUGAAGUUUUUUAUUUUUAGUUUUUUAAGUCGGUUCUUUCAUGGACUUAAGUUAUAAUGUUAUUAUAUAUAACUUGUCUAAAUGGGAGACAAACUACAAUGGUCGAACAGUCAAGUAAAAUGUUUAUUAGAUACAUGUAUCGAAGAGGUCAACAUAAUUGGUAGAAAAAGAGGUAGCAUGCACAAGGAGUAUUGGGUUAUGUUAGGGAAAGCUCUAAAAGAAAAGUUUGACAUGGAUACUUCACAAAAACAAUUGAAAAAUGCUUUUGAUAAUCUAAAAUCUAAAUACGCAGGGUAGAAAUAUUUGAGAAACAAGUUAGGGAAUUUAUACAAUGCUCAAACAAAUUCAUUUGCCUUACGGAACACAGAAUGGGAAAAAUUCAAGAAGGUGUGUCUAUACAAUUUAAUUUUUCUAGUUUAUGUCCAAUUUUAAUAAUGAUGUCAAAAUACUUAUAAUUACUAUUCAUCAUGGUUUAGGGUCAUCCAAAGGCAGGAUCACUAAGGACACACCCAUUGCCUUAUCCCAACCUUUGUGCGUCUUUGUUUGAUGGAAGUAGUGCCAGCGGUAGCAUCAAUGGACCUCUACUCAAACUACACCCGCAUAUACAUCAUCUUCUUCUCAUCGUGUCCAAAGACUUCUGGUUGAUAACAACCCUUUUAAUGGCCUAGAAGAUGAUGAUGAUGAUGACGCUUCCAAUGACACUAGUGCUCGAGCUCCUAGUGAUAAAGCUCAUGGUGGUUCUACUGAGAGGCCUGAUAUAAGGAGUAAAACCACUAAUGCCUCUACUGAGAGGCCCGAUAAAAGGGCUAAAACCAGUAAUGCUUCUACUGAUAGGGCCAAUAGGACCGAUAUGGAUAAAGCCUCUAAAACCACUGUUAGUCUUGAUGAGUUGAGUCUUGAUAUGCAAAAGGCUUUGCAACAUAUGGUAAAUAGCAAGGAAGGACCAACAGUAGAAGAAUGUUAUGAGAGUUUGAAGCUAGUUGAAUUAGACCCAAGUGAUCCUAUAUUUUUGGUAGCUUUUCACCUUUUUGGAAUGUCCAUGAAUAUGCGAGAGGCAUGGAUGACAUUGCCACCGAUACCUGGGGUCUUAAAAGGGUGGAUAAAGAUGACUGGAACCACAUUAGGGAUGUUUAAGUAGUCUUUAUGCUUAUGUUUUUUUCUUUCAUUUUGAACAAUUAUGUGUUUCUUGAACUUAUGUUUGACAUUAUGGUUUUUUGCUAUCAUUUGAAUGAUUGUGUACUUAUUUGACACAAAUAUUGCUAGUAUUGGGAUUAUAUGCUUAUUUGAAACAAAAUGUGUGCUUUUAAUAUGAUACAAAUGCUUAUGUUUUUUGCUUUAGCAUAUUGGGAUUUAACAAGUGUUGAUGGUUUAACAGGUUCACAAUGGAUUACGAUAAAAAGUUGUGCCUCCUAAUUGUUAUGUAUUUGUAUCUUCGCUUUUUUUGGAGAAGAGGUUUGAAAAGAAUGCGAGAUAAUACCUCAAAAAUGUCUGGGCAUCAAUUCACAUUAGAGUUAUUACAAGGAACUAAUAACCAAUGCAUUGAGCUCUUGCGUAUGUCAUGUGAUUCUUAUGUUCGGCUUUGCACACAUUUUAGAGUAAAAAGUUGGUUAAAGGAUAGUAAACAUAUAUCGGUUGAGGAGAAGAUGGCGAUGUUCUUGAUGAUGAUUGGUCACAAUCAACGUUAUGUAAUAAUCAAACAUAGAUUUCAACAAUCAAAACAAACGAUUCAUAAGUAUUGGAUAAAAUGAUGAUGUUCGCAAAGGAUAUAAUGGUACCAACUUCCUUUAAUCCAAAUCCAAACAUUCCGGGACAUAAUAGGAGGUUACGAAGGAUUUUCAGAGGAAGAGUUGGUGCACUUGAUGGAACUUUGGUACAUGCUAUUGUCCCUAUCGACAAACAACAUUUGUAUAGAGGAAGGGGAAAAGGUGAUUGUUAUCAAAAUGUAUUAGCAAUAUGCGACUUCAACAUGAUUUUUACGUUUGUCGUGGCUGGGUGGGAAGGGAUAGCACAUGAUUCAAGAAUAUUAUCUGAAGCUUUAGCAGAUCGAGAUGCACCAUUCCCAUUUCCACUGCCAGUUUUGUUUACAUUUUCAUUUUAAUAUUUCUACUGUUUUUUAAAUUAAUUAUUUCCUUAUAUUUACAAAUAAGUAUUAUCUUUGUGAUGUUGCGUAUACACACACUCGAGGAUUUAUGGCUCCUUAUCGUAAUGUGUGGUAUUUGCUUGGAGAUUUUCAUCGAAGACGUGCAUUAACCAACAAAGAAAAAUUUAAUCACUCACAUGCAAAACUUCGAAAUGUCAUUGAGCGUGCUUUUGGUGUCUUGAAAGCACAUUUACCUAUAUUGAAGAAAAUGGCGCCAUUUCCAUUGGUUACACAAAGAAACAUCGUCAUUGGAUGUUUUGCGCUUCAUAAUUAUAUAAGAAAAGAGGGAUUAAGUGAUGAAUAUUUUUCUCAAUAUAAUCAAGUCGAUAUAUCACUUCAAAGCAACAAUGUACAAGAUGAUGAUGAUGAUGAGGAGGAGGAGGAAGAGGAAAAGGAUGACGUGAAUGAGGUAUAACCACAUGGAAGUGCAAGAGACCGGGAAUAUAUGGUUCAUCUACGAGAUCAAAUUGUUGACCAGUUAAUGGGAAAUGUAGAAUGAAUAAAUUCAUAAAAAAUAUGUUAGUUUUAUGAAUUUAGUUUUAAUAUUGUAAGACAAUCAUUGAAACAAUCCUUUAUGUUUUUAAAAAUAUCAACUUUAAUGAGUAAAUGGCCUUCUAGUUUGAAUCGAAAUAUAUAUAGUUUAUCUAAUGUUUUAAAAAGCAUUAUAUGUUUGAAAUUGUUAUUGGCAAAGUUUGAGUCAAGUAUAAAUUUUAAUAGAUUAGCAAUGUAUGAGAUGUUGAGUUUUUAGCAUCUGGGCUUUGGUUUUUUCAACAUUAAUUUCAAAGAUCAGUUUUGUUGUUGAACAAUGGAAAUUAUUGCAAAUCGGGUGGCAACGUGUAACUAUACAGUUCUUAUUAAGAAAAAAUAUAAUUUGUUUUUUUAUGUUGCUUUUUCAUAUUAUCUAAUAUUUUUUUACAAAAUACUAUAAUUCUAUUAAAUUGUUUGUAAAUAUUAUUAAAUGGUUAGAUUUUCAAUUUAUUAAAAACCAACGUGAAUUAUGAGAAAAGAAAAUAUGGUUAAUUGAUUUCCUUUAUUACAAGAUCUCUUGAGUUUUAGUUCAUUAUAAUUAAAAAAAACAAACAAUCUUUUUGCAUUAAGGCUUUUUGUAUGAAUACAUAAAAAAAUACUUUUAGUCCACGUCUUUUUCCACAAACAUGGAAAAAGACAAAAAACAUUUGACCACUUCCAAAACAAACACCACCUUAGUGUGCAUACUUGGUGUAUGACAUAACUAAUGUUUGGAAAAACAUAGUGUGUGUACUUGGUGUAUGGCCUGACUAAUGUUUAGAAAACAUAGUGUACAUGCUUGGAGCAUGGGACAACUAUUGUUUUAAUUCAAGUAUUAAGUUGAUAAAUUUGAAACAGUAUGCAAUGAAUAAUGUGUAAUUAAUAUGGUGAUAAAUAGAAAGUGUUAUAUUUAUAUUCAUAAGUUCUGAGACCAUAUUGGAUUCGAUUAUUCUUGUGUUUCACUUUGCAUGUUUUGACUUCCAUAAUAACUAGGUCGUUCUUCCUGAAUGACUAAGUUGAUCAAACCAUCCACAUUCGAUAAUACGUUGGAAGUAGGUAUUAAGGCAAGAAUGUCAUGAAGCUGAAUUGUAGAUGUCCAAGGUAUUGGACAUAGCAAGAGUUGUUGCAACAUUCAUGAGUGCUCAUAAGUUCUGAUUAUUGGAUUAAACCCACACUCAUUUGACUCACUUCAUGGAUUUUAUCACGAGUGAUCAUGAGACGAUAAUAUCUUAUCUUCUUCAAACCUAGAGAUAUGAGUUGUUGACUAUGAGUUGGUAAUACAUUGAUUGCACAAAAACGCAUUGGGUAAAUCGAUGUUAUAAAACGUGCCUUUGUGUAUGAUUCAACAAGUAGUAGAACAAGCAUAUGAGUCAAAGUUUAUCCAUUCCUUUUACCCUUAUAGAGAUAAAAGCGAUAUCUGUGGGCCCCUUGAUGAUUUAGUGAUGACACCCCGAAGUCCUUGGCCAAGCCUGGACUGAUUUGAUUUGUUCAAUUAGUCGGUUGUCAUAAAUCGGAAAUCGGGAAACAACAAAUGGACAGAGAGAAUGAUUACAAUCCAUGUAUCAGCCCAUAUGAUAUCUAGAAUGGAGGAAUAUAUGAUCCCUUAUCUAAUGGACAAGCCAUUGACUAGAUCAGAGUUCAACAACGACUUUAAGAGCUACGAUUGCUAGUCGGGUUUUGGAGUUAUACGCAAUAAUAGUUUUAGACUUAUCCAAGUGGGAGACUGUUGGAUUAGAUGUAUAAACUCAUAACUAUUAUUGGUAUGUAUUCGACCCGAGAGUAGCAUGGUCCAUUUGGGUUGCACUUCACCGGGACAAUUUAUAUGAAUAGUCUUUUGAGAAUAGUAUAUUUAUGAUUUAUAUUAAUAUAUUAUAAGUUCUAAUAUAUUAAUAUGGAAUCAUAUUAUUUAAUUAGUAUUGAUCAAUAAUUAAUUUAGAAUUAAUUUAGUGAUCAAAAGGGACUAAUUAAAUAUGGACUCUUAUAUAUAGUAUGGGUCAAGUUCAUUUAGGUUGGGCUAAGCUUGCAUGGAUAGUCCAUGGAGUUUUUAGCCCAUGGAUCCCAUGGAUAUGAAAGGUCAUGGGUAUUAGGGUUUACAUGGAUGAAACCCUAAUCCUCCAUACUAUAUAAAGAGGUCUUUGGCACAUGAAAUGACACUAGUGUAUGAGCAAACAAUAGUAAGCCAAUUUCUAGUGUGCUUACUAUUCUCUCAAGUUCUCCAAGGAGUUUUUGGUGAUUUGUGAUUCCACUUGAGGCUUCCACACUAUUGGGGCUAAGCUCUUAAAGUUCAAGACUUCAAGCCACAUCAAAAGGUAUGUCUUCUAACUAGACUUUUGUAGUAUAGUUGCUUCAUAAUAUGUUAGUUAAGAUAAAACCUUGGAAUAUUGAAUAUUUUCAUGUAUAAUAGAGAAAACAUAGAUCCAAGGUUUAUAGGAUUGCAUGUACACCAUAGGAGUGUUAGAAUGCCCAAAACCCUUCAAUAAUGAUCUGCUACAAUCAAGUAGGCACGAAGCCCAAAUUAAACAAGUCCAAAGCCAAACACUAAUCGAGCCCAAAAAUCAUCUAAGCCCACAGACUGCGUAUGUGCGGCGUACACGGCUCGUACACCCAACGUAUGUUGAUGUCCAUCCGGAGUCGGGACACUAACCCAGUACACGUAGCUUACUUUAGAGUACGCCCGACGUAUUGUCCAAUCAACCCAUUUUCAUUCCCAAGUAUUAAUCCAAUCAAUAUUUACGUCAAAAACUUAGAUCCAAGCUCAAAAUAACAUCUUAAGCCAUAAAGUUACAAAUUUUGUGCUUUUGCAUGCAUGAAUGGGGCUCAAACCAUGAAUUAAGUCCACUAACUCACUUCGAUGGUCACUAACGCUUGCAUGGUUGGGUCUAAACCACCAAGAUACGAUUUUUAUGAUUCAAAACACUUCCAAGGGUCCAAAAAGACAUCUCAAAAGGCCUGGAUUUGCUCAUACUCCAAGAAACCAAGCUAUGGGACCAAAAGAUACCAUAUUUUACCCUAAACCUAGAUCUAAUCUUAUAAUGAUCAAGGUUCAGACUUUAUAUCUUUAGUGGACUAGAAAUGGUGCACAAACUCUAGAUCUUCAAGCUCCUUAUUAUCCUUUGCUCCUUCCAAGCUUCCUUCCUCUUCAAAACCACCAAAGAUCACCCAAAUACUCAAGGUAAGCUCAAUAUGCACUAAAAACGGCUAGGGUUUCUAAUUUGACACUAAAAGAGGUAAUGGGGAUGAUAAGGUAAGGAGGGUGAAGGAUUAAGGUGCUUAAAUAUGGUGCAAAACCUAAAACUUAGGGUAUGUAUAUGGCUUGAGUACGCCUAGUGUACAUUGGUAUCACCCCGAUGACUUGGGUGUUACAUCGUUCGUGCAACUUCUCAACUACAUCCGAGUUUGUUGGGUUGGAGUUAAACAAAGAACCUGCAAAGACACCACUAUUCGUACGAGAUUGACUUAUAUGAUGAACCACCGAGCCAUGAUCCAUUUCAAAUAAAAAGUAUUACAGAUAUAUUUCAUGAUUACAUCAACGAUGUACAAGAUGUAAACGGUGAUGAAAAUUGUAGGUUUCAAGCGAUAGUUGUUUGUCUACGGUACAAUGUAGACCGAUGGCUAUACAUUUGACUUAAAUUGCUUGAAGAGUUAGAGAGUCGAUAUAACGGAUACCAUGAUGUUUUUACUACUGAAUUAAAUAAGAUAUACAAGUCUUUGCAUUGGUUUGAAUCACCUGCACCUUUGCGAUAUUGGUUGCAUAUGCCUUUUACUGGUUACCUAAUUGCUAACAAGUUUGGCGUGAUUGUUUAUUGUUUAAGCCACGAACAAUCUACGACUUGCUUUCCUCUUUGGAGAGGUCCUGAAGAGUUUCCAUCCCACCAAUCCAUUACAUUGGCACAUGUAAAUGGCAACCAUUAUAUGUUGGUGUCUUUGAAAGAAAAUUACCAAAUGCCUCCUAUCAUAAUGUAUUGGAAUAACCACAAAAACCCGUAAGCAUACACAUGACAAAUUAUGUAUUGGUCGCGUUUCGAAUUAUACAAUCAAUUUAGGUCUCGUAAUUUUGUAACACCUUAGAUACAUAUCAAAAAGUAAGUGUGAAUGUAUUUGAACUAUUUUUUUUACUAUUCAUUGCAUCAAAAUAUUUUUUUUAUUAUUGUUGUGUCUAUUUUAGUUUUUUUAAUUAAAUAUUAUUUUUUAUAUAAAAUAAUGUUAUUAGAUUUUUUUUAAACCACAUAUCUAACCUACUUUAAAUUACUUCUAAUUUCAUGUAUUUUAUUAGAUGCACAUAAUAAUAUAUAAUACAACUUUUUUGUUUUAUAAAUUUAAAAUAUAAAAAAGAUAUUUUAUUAAAUAGAUUGAUAUAAAUAAUAUAUAUAAUAUGCAUUUUUGGUUUUAUAAAUUUAAAUUAUAAAAAAUAUUUUAUUAAAUAGAUUAAAUAGAUAAUCACUUAUUUGUAUAUUAAACAAAAUUUAUUAAUUAUCACUUUAUUAUUAGCUAAUAAUUAUAAGUAAAAAUGUAAUCAUUAUAAAUAAAAAUUAUUAAAUUAUUAUUUAAUCAUUUUAAUCAUUUAAAGAAGUUAUUGAUUAAGGAUACUUUUAGAAUCUGAAGAGAGUAUUGAUAUCUUUACUUUUUUAGAUUUUAUAAAAACACAACUUAUAAAAAAAAUUUACACAACAAAUUUUACACAUUAAAAAAUNNNNNNNNNNNNNNNNNNNNNNNNNNNNNNNNNNNNNNNNNNNNNNNNNNNNNNNNNNNNNNNNNNNNNNNNNNNNNNNNNNNNNNNNNNNNNNNNNNNNNNNNNNNAUAUAUAUAUAUAUAUAUAUAUAUUGUUGUUUUUGAAUAAUUAACUGCUUAAUGCUAGAGACAUGGUAAAAUAAGUUAUUUAGUCACAUUCAAAUGGUUUUUAUUUGUUCUAUAAAAAACACUUUAUAUAGACAAACAUUAUUAUCAAUUCCACCACUGCCACUUUACCAAUAUAUCAGUGUCGAUCGGCAAGAUGACAUGAUUACAAUAAUCAGGUAACUGUAUUUUCGUAGUGGAAAGCAGUUUAAUAGAAUGACGACACAAAAUUAGACAGUAACUUACAAUGUUAUAAUAAUACUUUGGAUGAGAGACACACACACACACACUCACACAGAGAGAGAGAGAGAGAGAGAGAGAGAGAGAGAGAGAGAGAAGGAUAUGUGUCAGUCCUUUAUUAAAAUAGGUUGUUUCUCAUGUAUUUUAUUAUUUAUUUCAUGAUCUAAGACCUAAUACUCUACACAAAUCUUUACCCAAAUCUUUACCACUAAAAAAGAAGCCUAGAUUCGAAUAUUCUAUCCAAGAUGAAUCCCAUGGAUGAAGAAAAGAAUCGUGAAUCUUAACAUGAGCAAAAGCUUCGAGAUAACAUUCAAGAUAAAAACCAAUUUCAAUAAGGACAUGCCAUUUCUGCAAGAAGAAGUUGUAUAGCCCACAAGCAUUUGGGGGUCGCCAAAAUGCUCACGAAAAAGAAAGAUGGAGCAAGAAGACACCACUUGUUCACUAUGGACAAUGAGUUUUCAAUUCAUCGAACACUUGGUGUGCAUUCUCACUCACUUUCACGUAAACCAACCACAAAUGAAGUGGGGAAAAUCACAAUUAGAGAGUAUGGAGAGGAAGUAAGUUUAAUAUGGUUAUUUAAAAAAAAAAAGUCAUUUUUUUCAAAAAGUUUAUUUAUAUGGAUUGAAUUACUUAAUUUUUUUUAACUUCAAGGACCAAUAAUGUAAUUAUGUCUUACAAUUAACUUUUGUAUUUUGUAUUUAAAAGUAGAUUAAAAAAUUAAUUACAAAGUCAAUAUAGUCAUGUAUAUAUCUAUUAAACAAAAAAUUAGAUAAAUUUACAAAAAUGGUCUCUGUUGCGAAAAGUCAUAAAGUCAGUUAUUUUAACCUCUCUAUUUUUUAAAUUUUCGUGUUUAAUCUCGUAUUGUAUAUAAUUUGAUUUUUAUUAAUACUUUUCAUUCGUUAACCUAAGACAAAUUAUUUUUACGUGUUUAUUUUAUAUAUUUGUCGGUAAUUCAAGAUGGUUAACGUUUCGACUUUAAUUUAGAACUUUCUUUUGUUAAUUUAUUUAAGAAAAAUUACAUGGGUUUUUAUAAACUUUUCGGUUUUAAUUUGAGUUUGUCUAUGUUUCGUCAAUUUUUUUUAAACUUUAUGUAUGUUUCCUACGUAUGAGAUAGGUCACAUAUAAUAACUUUUGUUUGUUAAUUUUAAAAAAUGUAUUAUAUUCGAGUUUGUCUACGUUUCGACGUAUUUUUAUAUAUUUGUCGAUAUAAUUCAAGGUGGUCAACGUUUCGACUUUAAUUUAUAACUUUCUUUCUUUAAAUUUUUUUAAAAAAAUUACAUGUUUUUUUUAAUAAACUUUUCAGUUUAAAUUCGAGUUUGUCUACGUUUCGACAUGUUUUUUUAAACUUUAUGUAUGUUUCCUACGUAUUUCAUACACAUAUAAUAACUUUCGUUUUUUAAUUUAAAAAAAAUUAUUAUAUUUGAGUUUGUCAACGUUUUGGCGUAUUUUUAUAUAUUUUGUGCGAAAUUUUAUAUACAUUCAUACGUAUCAGUCGGGUCAAGUAUGCUAACUUUCGUUCGUUAGCUUAAAAAAUGUAUUAUAUUCAAGUUUGUCUACGUUUCAACCUAAUUUUUUUUUCAUGUUUUUUUACGUAUUAGUAUAGAUUCGAGUUCGUCUACAUUUCGACAUAAUUUUUUUUUAUUUUAUGUUUCGUGCUUAUUUUUAUGUACGUGUUUUUUUACAUAGAAACGUAACUUUUAUCAAUAAAUCGUCAAAAAUCAACUUACAAAAUUCAAUGUUUAUAAUUACGCUUUUAUUUAUUAUAUGUGAACAAAGUCAUACGUAGGAACAUACAUAAAAUAAACACCAAAACAUAUAAAAAAACCAAAACAUUAAAAAAAUAAAAAAUAAAAAAACUCAAAUUUACAUCAAUACGUGCAUAAAAAUAAAUAAAUAAGAUUUUUUUUAUAGUUAACAAAUGAAAACUUAAAUAAUAAAAAAUGUAUAAUAUGUGACCUUAGUCAUACAUAUGAAAUGUACAUAAAAUUAACGAAAACGUUAAAAAAUACAUUUCGUGAAACGUAGACAAGCUAGAUGAUAAUACAUUUUUUUACAACGAACGAAAAUUAUUAUGUGGCACGAAAUGAUGUGGGAGUGUAUAUAAAACUAAACACCAAAAAUGUAAAUGAAUAAUAAUAAAUGAAUAAGUAAAAAUUAUUUCGAAACGUAGACAAACUUAAAUAUAAUAUGUUUUUUAAAAUUAAAAAACAAAAGUUAUUAUAUGUGAUCGGUACUUGAAAAGACCAAAAUACCGACAAAUAUAUAAAAAUUAUUUUGAAACGUAGACAAACUUACAAAUAUGUAACUUCUUCACAAAAAAAAAACGAAAAAUAUUUUAAAUUACAGAUAAAACGUUGAUCACCUUAAAUUAUACCGAUAAAUAUAUAAAAAUAAACAUAUAAAAAAAACUUUUUUAGGUUAACAAACAACAAUUAUUAAUAAAAAUCAAAUUAUAAUACGAGGUUAACCACUAAAAUUAUGAAAAUAACAUUUUUCAAAAUUCAAAGUCAAAAAUUCAAAAUGAUAAUUUAAAAAGUAAAAUGAUGAAAAAGCCACAAAUUCAUAAACAUAAAAUAUAUAAAAAAAAAAUUACAUAAAUAAUCUCCUAUAGUUUACCUAUAAUCACAAAGUUAGUCUCUAUUAUUUAAAAAGACCAAAAUACCCUUACAUUAACGGAUGAACAAUAAUGAUUAAGACUGUGCAUGGCUCGAUUUAGGUCGGUUUUGGACCCAGACUCAAACCCAACCCAUGAAUGUUCGGUUUCUAGUUUUCAGAACCCAAUAGAUUCGAUUUCUUAGGUUCUAAGGUCGGUUUGAUCGGCUUUUCAGUUUCUUGGGUUCAACCCAUACACUCAUGGGUUUUGGAUUAAAUCCAUAGAUUUUGAUUUUCAGUUUCUGGUUUUUCGGUUUCUUGGGUUCAAACCGAACCCGACUUUUUGGUUUUUAAAAAAGUCAAACCCUAACUGUUGGUUUUGCUUUGGUUUCGAUUUCAUCGGUUUUAGUCGGUUUCUUGGUUUAUUGGUUUGGGUUUGCUCACCCGUAAACGAUUCAUGUCGGCAAAAAAGAGUCAUUCAUGCAAUUUUGAAAAUCACAUGGACCAUAUUCAUCCAAAAAAAUUUUAACAGGGACUGGUUUCAUGACUUUUGACAAACACAAUGAUCAUUUUUAUAAUUGUCAAAAAAAUUAAUACAAACAUUUUUUUUAAUAUAAUUAUUGAAAUUCAAAUUCCAAACUACAUCAAGAAAAUUACCAAAACAAAUCCAAAAGACAUGUCAAUCCAAAAUAUUCCAUAUGUACAACCCAAACGCCCCUAUUUGGAUUUUACAAAUCGUGAUGUUUUCCUGAAUAGAAAUAAUAAAACUACAAACACAAUCUUUAUCAAUGCAAAUUACCUGUUUAACCGCUCUCCAAAAUCAACGAUGAUUCAGUGAUCAUAAAGAAAAAAAAAAUGAUCUGUGACUUAUAAUACAAAUAAAAUGAUUAAGAAAAUCAAAAAUAACAAAACAAUUCAAAAUAUAAAAGUAUUUCCGAAGAACACAGAUUCGUAAAAAUGCAGCAAAAAACCCAAAUUAAUAAAACUGUCCCCAAUGAAUCAACAAUAAAACUUUAACUUUAGAAUAUAAAUGAGGCUCAGAUCUGUUUUACAAUCGGAACAAGAGGAUUAAACCGCCAUGGCUGCAAUUACAGAGGUUGCAUUUUAACAAUUGCCGUCCUCCGAUUCUGCCCUGCCAAGCUGCGGAUAAUCUCAAAUCUUGACCCGAUUUUGACUCAGAUCAUGUUUAAUCAUCACAGCCUCAUACAUUGGGUCUCUCUCUAGUCUCUAUCUCUCUGUAUAUGCAUACAGAUACAGAUACAUACUUGCAUACAUUAUAUGAUUAGAUUACUCAGUUUCUCUUUAUAUAUAUAUAUACAUAUAUCAUUGCUACACAAGAAAGGCGAAACCUUUCAUGACAGCUAGACUUGUCAGCAAAAGCUGAAGUAGAGGGUUGUUGAAAUUUCAAAGAAGACGAUGGAAAUCAUCGGCGUGGAGAGGCGGCAACCACCCUCAGAAACCCUUUGUUCCUCUCACAGCCUCAUUCUCUGAGUCGUAAAACAUAUAUCCCUAAUUUUGACUCGGUUACUUUAUUUAUACUGCGGGCCUCCGAUUUGGGUUUCCAAAUGGAUCUAUAUGUCAUUAAUCUUUAG